rnacentral:rRNA from 1 species
ACGCUCGACACCUACGGGAGGCAGCAGUGGGGAAUAUUGCACAAUGGGGGAAACCCUGAUGCAGCGACGCCGCGUGAGCGAAGAAGUAUUUCGGUAUGUAAAGCUCUAUCAGCAGGGAANAAACUGACGGUACCUGACUAAGAAGCACCGGCUAAAUACGUGCCAACAGCCGCGGUAAUCUGAGCGGGCUGGCAAGGC